rnacentral:rRNA from 1 species
UACGUAGGGGGCUAGCGUUGUCCGGAAUCAUUGGGCGUAAAGCGCGUGUAGGCGGUCCGGUAAGUCCGCUGUGAAAGUCGGGGGCUCAACCCUCGAAUGCCGGUGGAUACUGUCGGGCUAGAGUACGGAAGAGGCGAGUGGAAUUCCUGGUGUAGCGGUGAAAUGCGUAGAUAUUGGGAGGAACACCGGUGGCGAAGGCGGCCCCCUGGACCGGUACUGACGCUGAGGCGCGAAAGCGUGGGUAGCAAACGGG